rnacentral:rRNA from 1 species
UUGCUCCGCUGACGAGUGGCGAACGGGUGAGUAAUGCAUCGGAACGUGCCUAUUUGUGGGGGAUAACGUAGCGAAAGUUACGCUAAUACCGCAUACGCCCUGAGGGGGAAAGCGGGGGAUUCGUAAGAACCUCGCGCAAUUAGAGCGGCCGAUGUCGGAUUAGCUAGUUGGUGGGGUAAAGGCUCACCAAGGCGACGAUCCGUAGCGGGUCUGAGAGGAUGAUCCGCCACACUGGGACUGAGACACGGCCCAGACUCCUACGGGAGGCAGCAGUGGGGAAUUUUGGACAAUGGGCGAAAGCCUGAUCCAGCCAUGCCGCGUGAGUGAAGAAGGCCUUCGGGUUGUAAAGCUCUUUCAGCCGGAAAGAAAUCGCGCAGGCUAAUACUCUGCGUGGAUGACGGUACCGGAAGAAGAAGCACCGGCUAACUACGUGCCAGCAGCCGCGGUAAUACGUAGGGUGCGAGCGUUAAUCGGAAUUACUGGGCGUAAAGCGUGCGCAGGCGGUUAUAUAAGACAGAUGCGAAAUCCCCGGGCUCAACCUGGGAACUGCGUUUGUGACUGUAUGAC